CCUACGGGAGGCUGCAGUGGGGAAUAUUGCACAAUGGGGGAAACCCUGAUGCAGCGCCGCCGCGUGAGUGAAGAAGUAUCUCGGUACGUAAAGCUCUAUCAGCAGGGAAGAAAAUGACGGUACCUGAAUAAGAAGCCCCGGCUAUCUACGUGCCAGCAGCCGAGGUAAAACGUAGGGGGCAAGCGUUAUCCGGAUUUACUGGGGGUAACGGGGACGUAGAUGGUAGCGCAAGUCUGGUGUGAAAUCCCGGGGCUUAACCCCGGAACGGCUUUGGAAACUGGGCGGCUGGAGUGCAGGAGGGGUAAGUGGAAUUCCAGGUGUAGCGGUGAAAUGCGUAGAUAUAAGGAAGAACACCAGUGGCGAAGGCGGCUUACUGGACUGUAACUGACGUUGAGGCUCGAAAGCGUGGGGAGCAAACAGGAUUAGAUACCCCGGUAGUC
rnacentral:rRNA from 1 species